GUAACGCGUAUGCAACUUACCUAUCAGAGGGGGAUAGCCCGGCGAAAGUCGGAUUAAUACCCCAUAAAACAGGGGUCCCGCAUGGGAAUAUUUGUUAAAGAUUCAUCGCUGAUAGAUAGGCAUGCGUUCCAUUANGCAGUUGGCGGGGUAACGGCCCACCAAACCGACGAUGGAUAGGGGUUCUGAGAGGAAGGUCCCCCACAUUGGUACUGAGACACGGACCAAACUCCUACGGGAGGCAGCAGUGAGGAAUAUUGGUCAAUGGCCGAGAGGCUGAACCAGCCAAGUCGCGUGAAGGAAGAAGGAUCUAUGGUUUGUAAACUUCUUUUAUAGGGGAAUAAAGUGGAGGACGUGUCCUUUUUUGUAUGUACCCUAUGAAUAAGCAUCGGCUAACUCCGUGCCAGCAGCCGCGGUAAUACGGAGGAUGCGAGCGUUAUCCGGAUUUAUUGGGUUUAAAGGGUGCGUAGGUGGUGAUUUAAGUCAGCGGUGAAAGUUUGUGGCUCAACCAUAAAAUUGCCGUUGAAACUGGGUUACU
rnacentral:rRNA from 1 species